UACGAAGGGUGCAAGCGUUACUCGGAAUUACUGGGCGUAAAGCGUGCGUAGGUGGUUUGUUAAGUCUGAUGUGAAAGCCCUGGGCUCAACCUGGGAACGGCAUUGGAAACUGGCUUACUAGAGUGCGGUAGAGGGGUGUGGAAUUCCCGGUGUAGCAGUGAAAUGCGUAGAUAUCAGGAAGAACACCUAUGGCGAAGGCAGCUCUCUGGGACGGUACUGACGCUGAGACGCGAAAGCGUGGGGAGCGAACAGG
rnacentral:rRNA from 1 species